GAAAGAACGUAGUGAAACGCGAUAAGUAAUGUGAAUUGCAGAAUCCAGUGAAUCAUCGAAUCUUUGAACGCACAUUGCGCCCGCCAGCAUUCUGGCGGGCAUGCCUGUUCGAGCGUCAUUUCAACCCUCGACCUCCCCUUGGGGAGGUCGGCGUUGGGGACCGGCAGCACACCGCCGGCCCUGAAAUGGAGUGGCGGCCCGUCCGCGGCGACCUCUGCGCAGUAAUACAGCUCGCACCGGGACCCCGACGCGGCCACGCCGUAAAACACCCAACUUCUGAACGUUGACCUCGAAUCAGGUAGGACUACCCGCUGAACUUAAGCAUAUCAAUAAGCGGAGGA
rnacentral:misc_RNA from 1 species